ACAAGCGGUGGAGUAUGUGGUUUAAUUCGAUGCAACGCGAAGAACCUUACCUGGUCUUGACAUCCCGGAGACCCUUAGGAAACUAGGGGUGCUUCCAUCUGGAAGAAUCUGGAGACAGGUGCUGCAUGGCUGUCGUCAGCUCGUGUCGUGAGAUGUUGGGUUAAGUCCCGCAACGAGCGCAACCCUUGCCUUUAGUUGCCAGCAGUUCGGCUGGGCACUCUAAAGGGACUGCCGGUGUUAAACCGGAGGAAGGUGGGGAUGACGUCAAGUCCUCAUGGCCUUUACGGCCUGGGCUACACACGUGCUACAAUGGUCGGUACAAAGGGUUGCCAAGCCGCGAGGUGGAGCUAAUCCCAUAAAACCGAUCGUAGUCCGGAUCGCAGUCUGCAACUCGACUGCGUGAAGUCGGAAUCGCUAGUAAUCGUGAAUCAGAAUGUCACGGUGAAUACGUUCCCGGGCCUU
rnacentral:rRNA from 1 species